AGUGAACGCUGGCGGUAGGCCUAACACAUGCAAGUCGAACGGCAGCACAGUAAGAGCUUGCUCUUACGGGUGGCGAGUGGCGGACGGGUGAGGAAUACAUCGGAAUCUACUUUUUCGUGGGGGAUAACGUAGGGAAACUUACGCUAAUACCGCAUACGACCUACGGGUGAAAGCAGGGGAUCUUCGGACCUUGCGCGAUUGAAUGAGCCGAUGUCGGAUUAGCUAGUUGGCGGGGUAAAGGCCCACCAAGGCGACGAUCCGUAGCUGGUCUGAGAGGAUGGUCAGGCACACUGGAACUGAGACACGGUCCAGACUCCUACGGGAGGCAGCAGUGGGGAAUAUUUGGCAAUGGGCGCAAGCCUGGUCCAGCCAUACCGCGUGGGUGAAGAAGGCCUUCGGGUUGUAAAGCCCUUUUGUUGGGAAAGAAAAGCAGCAGGUUAAUACCCCGCUGUUCUGACGGUACCCAAAGAAUAAGCACCGGCUAACUUCGUG
rnacentral:rRNA from 1 species